rnacentral:pre_miRNA from 1 species
GGUUUUGAAGUUGAGCUCCUUUCAUUCCAAUGAAAGGUUUACCUGAAGGGUGAUACAGCUGCUUGUUCAUGGUUCCCACUAUCCUAUCUCAUCAGAAAGUUUGUAACAUGUGAGACUGAGAGAUAAGCAUUGGCUUUGAGAUAGGCUUGUGGCUUGCAUGACCAGGGAGCUGCAUGAACCCCUUGCUGACCGCUCUUUGGAUUGAAGGGAGCUCUGCAUCUUGAUCUC